UGUAUAUCAGUUUUUUAUAGUCAUCAAAUGUGACGACAGUGCCAAGAACCUUUGAAGUCUAACUUGUAGACUGUCGAUGGUCAAAACCGAAUUGUAAAAUCUAAUGACGAACUAUUUGAAUUCGUAGGUCAUAGAGUGGUUGCGUGUCACAAGUUUCUAAUUUUUGAACGUAAACAAUUGGAUCCGCCGUUUAUUAAAAAUUAGGGGAAGCGGUCUCAGUCAACAACUGUACAAAUUGUUCAAACACAUGCAUAAAUACGAGAGGAAGGAUGAACUAACAAGAAUUUACGGCAAAAAAAGACUAAGUGCUCGGUAGGAUCUCCAUAAAGUGUCUUGCACCUGCAGUGCUCCAAGUCGUGGCCUCUUCGGCUCUUCCUUUAUCUUUGUCACAAAGAGAGAUCGUUGAAGAGUGUCUUCUUACAUUUCUCUUUUUCCAUAUUUUCUAGGUUACAAGAAUUAUGAUUGAAUAAAAGGUCUUUCAAGGACAUCCUUUUAAGUGUACAACUUCAUUCCACCACUCUGGUACCGACAUAAAUUUUUAACAUGUCCCACUAGGCUCCAAUCAGCUGCAAGCCAGGCAUAUAUCUUGUCACAAAUCCAAAUGGAGUACGCAGUGUAUGAAUAAGAGCAAGUAUAAUAAUUAGCUUAUAGCUAAACUAAUUAAUAUUUGCGUAUGUGAAAGAGAUAAGGAAGGAGAGAGAAAAGAGCUUACUCCCUCUGUUCCAAAAUAAUUAUCGUUUUAGGUUUUCGUACCGCAAGUUUGACUAUAUUCAUAAAAAAUACGUGCAACAUUUGCAUCUCUAAAUAAAUUUAUUAAAAAACUAGAUUCAAAGAUCUUUCCGAUGAUACUAGUUAUAUAUGAUAAGUAUUAAUUUUUUUUAAUAUAUAUUUAACCAAAGUUAUUUCUCAGGAAAUGAGAACAACAAUUAUUUUGAGACGGAGGGAGUAGUUCUUAGGGCACUCCCAAUGUAGAAACCAUUGUGGUUUCUAUAGAUAUUAAUUGUAGUGCCACCUAAACAUAAAGUGAUAUGAUUGGUUGAGAAUGGAGAGAGAAUGAAUGUGAUUAGAUAAAAAAAUAUUCUAUAGAAACUAUCCAUUGGGAUCAUAGUUUCUAUAAAUAGUGUCUAUAAAAAUUAAUAGGUAUAGAAUUGGGAGUGCUCUUAGGAUACUCACAAUGCAAGACUCUAUCAUAGAGUUCAAGACAAUUAAUUACAUAUUAUUUAUGGUAUUUUGCUGAUGUAACAGCAUAUUUAUUGAAGAAAGAGCUAGAAAAAUAAGACUCCAAGUCUUAUUUAGAUUCUAAGUCCACAUUAUUCGAGGUAAUAAAUAACUUUAGGCUCUAUGAUAGAGUCUGCAUUGUGAGGCCAGUCUCAGUGGGGGUUUCACUAGGAUGUCAUGCACAUUUAUUAGAGCGUCAUGUCAGCAAAACUGCACUUUUUGCAUGAAACGAAGAGGAGAGAGAAGGAAGUAGUUUCACCAUGGUGAAACCCCGCGGGCGUUGUUUCUCACGCGGUGAAACGGGAUGAAAUCCCCACUGAGGGCUAAAUCGUUUCACCAUCUUGCAUGUGAUCCAAUCAUUUUGCAGUAAUUAAAUGCUUUGCUCAGGCUAGGAAACGUCAAAGUGAAACUGGUGUAUUGUGGAGGUCGUUUCAUUAUUCGUUUCAUUGAUCCCUGUCAGCGGAUUUAUUUUGAAAACAGUGUAUUGAAACGGACCACUGACACCGGCCUGAGUGCUCUUAUGCCAGCAACAAGCUGGACACAUAAGCAUAUGUACUAGUGGGUCUGGAUAGAGAUGAAUGUGACGAGAAAUACUAAAGAGAAUAAAAACAUAUAACAAUAAAUAAAUUUUGUAGACAAACAAAAAACUAGUUAUUGUAUAGCUUAGCUUCUAUAACUUAAUUUAUAGUCACGCAUUUGGCCCUAUUAUUGAUCAUGUUCUAAGUGUGAAGCAUCUUCUGGUUUGGCGGCGAGCCAUGUCACAAGUUUGAACAAGUCACGGUAGGAUAGCUGCCUAUAGGAGAAAGAUAUUUAUUUUAUAUCAAUAAAAAAUCUCGAAGUGAAACUAUAACAAAAGGGCUCGCAAAAAAAGAAAAUAAAGAGAAAAAAGGAAAAAAAACAAAGAAAAAAAUAAAGAAACAAUACGGAAUAGUGGCUAACACCUCGGAGGCCAGGGAUUCGUGGACGCUUAAAAAGACUAGUACUAGUACUACACAUUGAAUAUUUUUACAAUGAUUUAAGAGGUGAUAAGUAGUGAUUGGUGUAUCUAUGAUCUAUGGACCCAGAAUAUGAAAAGGAAUAAAAGAUGAUGAGAACAAGACGAUGAGAGGUGAUAGGUGUGUCUAUGGUCGGUGGGCCAUAGACGUCACAUCACCUCCGAAAUUACGGGGAUUAGAACCCUAAAUAGAGGAGUGGUAAUUUCUUUUUUUAUAUAUUUUUUUAAUGAAGAGUAAAAGGAUAAAUUCAUAAUUAUAAAAAUAAUAUUUUGAGUAGCAUAGUUCUAUAGUUAGUUAGAUAAAAAUCUUCUUCUUAAGUUUUUUUAAAAUCUUCUUAGAGUUCCACUCGCUGGCGUCCACCAGUGCGUGUUACAGGGAGCCGUCGUCGCUGUUAAUAGCGGUUGGGGUUUGAGAGAACUUUGUACAAUGAUGUUAUUAUCCUUCCACAAAUUAAAUUAAAAGAAGUUUUUUACGGAAGCAAUGGGAGGCGAUUGGAAACAAUUCCAACCAUCGUAAAAGGUCUCCAUACACAUUUUAUCUACAACUAGCAAAUAUGCCCGUAUUAGGGCUCGAUAUCGAGCC
rnacentral:lncRNA from 1 species